ACACAUAAUAGCUACAUCUUUAAUAAUAGUACAAUUGGAAGCUACCUUGAAGAGUCUGGAGGUAGAAAUGGAUGGUUGCUUGGAGAUUCAGGAUAUGCCUGCGGGCCAUGGAUAGUCACCCCUGAGCAACCCCCAGACACAGGGAGAGGAGAGAUUUAACCAAGCGCUCUGUAAAACAAGGAACACAGUGGAAAGAGCUUUUGGCCUAAUGAAGUCUCGGUUUCGAUGCCUACACAAGGCAACGGGCUGCCUGCCUUUCAAACCAGACUGCAAGUGUCAUCGGCUCGUGUAUGGUGUGUGCCAGCUACACAACCUGUGUAUCAACCAUCGCCUUCCACCCUUGCCAGCCCUACCUGCAGAGGAUG